rnacentral:rRNA from 1 species
GAUGAACGCUGGCGGCGUGCCUAAUACAUGCAAGUCGAGCGAACGGACGAGUAGCUGGCUUCUCUGAUGUUAACGGCGGAAGUGUGAGGAAAACGUGGAGAACCUACCUAUAAGACUAGGAUAACUUAGGGAAACCGUAGCUAAAACCGGAUAAUAUUGUGAACCUCAUGGUUGAAAAGUGAAAGACGGUCUUGCUGUCAAUUAUAGAUGGAUCCGCGCUGCAUUAGCUAGUUGGUAAGGUAACGGCUUACCAAGGCAACGUGGCAUAGCCGACCUGAGAGGGGGAUCCGGCACACUGGGACGACGAGACGGACCGGAACUGUACGGCAGGCCACAGUAGGGCGGCUUGCGCCAGGGGCGAAUGCUUGACGGUGCACCGAAGUGUGAUGGAUGAAGGUCGUGUGCGCGUAAACCUCUGUUAUGAGGGAAGACCAUAUCUGUAGGUAACUGUGCACAUCUUGACGGUAGCUAAUCAGAAAGCCACGGCUAACUACGUG